GUAGUAGUGGCCGAGUGGUUAAGGCAAUGGACUAAAAAUCUAUUGGGGUCUUUUCGCGUAGGUUUGAAUCCUGCCAACUACA